AGCGAACGCUGGCGGCAGGCCUAACACAUGCAAGUCGAACGAACUCCUCGGAGUUAGUGGCGGACGGGUGAGUAACACGUGGGAACGUGCCCUUUGGUACAGAAUAACUCAGGGAAACUUGAGCUAAUACCGUAUGUGCCCUUCGGAGGAAAGAUUUAUCGCCAUUGGAGCGGCCCGCGUCUGAUUAGCUAGUUGGUGAGGUAACGGCUCACCAAGGCGACGAUCAGUAGCUGGUCUGAGAGGAUGACCAGCCACAUUGGGACUGAGACACGGCCCAAACUCCUACGGGAGGCAGCAGUGGGGAAUCUUGCGCAAUGGGCGAAAGCCUGACGCAGCCAUGCCGCGUGGAUGAUGAAGGUCUUAGGAUUGUAAAAUCCUUUCACCGGUGAAGAUAAUGACUGUAGCCGGAGAAGAAGCCCCGGCUAACUUCGUGCCAGCCGCCGCAGUAAGAC
rnacentral:rRNA from 1 species